GCCUUUGUGGCCCAACGGUUAGCGCACUCGACGCGUAUUCCAGAGGUCCAGGUUCGAGUCCCGGCGAAGGCA
rnacentral:tRNA from 1 species